UGCCUAGCAACUCCUAUCCCUACCUCCUCGCGGUACUGGCCGGGGUACGAGUAACCUUAGGGAAGAUCGGGUAACCAACCCCCGGUGGGAACUUUGGUCGUAUGCUGACAGGGAAGG
rnacentral:ribozyme from 1 species